rnacentral:rRNA from 1 species
GACGAACGCUGGCGGUGUGCUUAACACAUGCAAGUCGAACGAGUGGGGAACGGGUGAGUAACACGUGGGUGAUCUGCCUUGCACUUCGGGAUAAGCUUGGGAAACUGGGUCUAAUACCGGAUAGUGCAAGAUGAGCCCGCGGCCUAUCAGCUUGUUGGUGGGGUAAUGGCUACCAAGGCGCGACGGGUAGCCGGCCUGAGAGGGUGUACGGCGAGAUUGGGGCUAGGUAACGGCCAAGACUCCUACGGGGGGGAGCAGUGGGUAAUGUUGCACAAUGGGCGGAAGGCAGAUGCAGCGACGCCGCGUGGUGGAUGAAGGCCGUCGGGUUGUAAACUCCUUUCGACAGGGACGCGGUACCUGUAUAAGAAGCACCGGCUAACUACGGGGCAGCAGCCGCGGUGAUAC